CCUAGGGGAGGCAGCAGUGGGGAAUAUUGGUCAAUGGGCGGAAGCCUGAACCAGCCAAGUCGCGUGAGGGAAUAAGGCCCUACGGGUCGUAAACCUCUUUUGUCGGGGAGCAAGGGCGGGGACGUGUCCCGGCCCGGAGAGUACCCGGAGAAACAGCAUCGGCUAACUCCGUACCAGCAGCCGCGGUAAUACGGGGGAUGCGAGCGUGACCCGGAUUUAUUGGGUUUAAAGGGUGCGUAGGCGGGCUUAUAAGUCAGCGGUAAAAAUUCGGGGCGCAACCCCGUCCGGCCGUUGAAACUGGGGGCCUUGAGUGGGCGAGAAGAAGGCGGAAUGCGUGGUGUAGCGGGGAAAUGCAUAGAUAUCACGCAGAACACUGAUUGCGAAGGCAGGUUUCCGGCGCCCUACUGACGCUGAGGCACGAAAGUGCGGGGAUCGAACAGGAUUAGAUACCCUUGUAGUC
rnacentral:rRNA from 1 species